UAGUUUUGUUGAAAGCGGUGUUAUCC
rnacentral:sRNA from 1 species